AGUAAAAUUUAUUGUUCUAAUUUGAAAUUAGAAUUUAGUGUCUUAGAUGAUGCAUUUUACUA
rnacentral:tRNA from 1 species